GAUGAACGCUGGCGGCGUGCCUAAUACAUGCAAGUCGAGCGAACGGACGAGAAGCUUGCUUCUCUGAUGUUAGCGGCGGACGGGUGAGUAACACGUGGAUAACCUACCUAUAAGACUGGGAUAACUUCGGGAAACCGGAGCUAAUACCGGAUAAUAUUUUGAACCGCAUGGGUCAAAAGUGAAAGACGGUCUUGCUGUCACUUAUAGAUGGAUCCGCGCUGCAUUAGCUAGUUGGUAAGGUAACGGCUUACCAAGGCAACGAUGCAUAGCCGACCUGAGAGGGUGGUCGGCCACACUGGAACUGAGACACGGUCCAGACUCCUACGGGAGGCAGCAGUAGGGAAUCUUCCGCAAUGGGCGAAAGCCUGACGGAGCAACGCCGCGUGAGUGAUGAAGGUCUUCGGAUCGUAAAACUCUGUUAUUAGGGAAGAACAUAUGUGUAAGUAACUGUGCACAUCUUGACGGUACCUAAUCAGAAAGCCACGGCUAACUACGUG
rnacentral:rRNA from 1 species